rnacentral:misc_RNA from 1 species
UUGAUUUAUUGUUUAAAUCACUCAGACUAUAAAGAUAAAAGAGUUUGGUUUGGUCCACCGGGGUGCCACCCGCCCGAAGGCAGGGUCUCCCCCGAGGCAACGCGGUCGGACAACAUGGGGUGGAUUAUCUCGCCAGACGCCGCGGGCUUUUUUAGGGCACGCGGCGGCCGACAGAUGAAACCUAUUAAUGAUCCCUCCGCAGGUUCACCUACGGAGA